GCUUGCUCCCUUAGGUCAGCGGCGGACGGGUGAGUAACACGUGGGUAACCUGCCUGUAAGACUGGGAUAACUCCGGGAAACCGGGGCUAAUACCGGAUGCUUGAUUGAACCGCAUGGUUCAAUCAUAAAAGGUGGCUUUUAGCUACCACUUACAGAUGGACCCGCGGCGCAUUAGCUAGUUGGUGAGGUAACGGCUCACCAAGGCGACGAUGCGUAGCCGACCUGAGAGGGUGAUCGGCCACACUGGGACUGAGACACGGCCCAGACUCCUACGGGAGGCAGCAGUAGGGAAUCUUCCGCAAUGGACGAAAGUCUGACGGAGCAACGCCGCGUGAGUGAUGAAGGUUUUCGGAUCGUAAAACUCUGUUGUUAGGGAAGAACAAGUACCGUUCGAAUAGGGCGGUACCUUGACGGUACCUAACCAGAAAGCCACGGCUAACUACGUGCCAGCAGCCGCGGUAAUACGUAGGUGGCAAGCGUUGUCCGGAAUUAUUGGGCGUAAAGCGCGCGCAGGCGGUUUCUUAAGUCUGAUGUGAAAGCCCCCGGCUCAACC
rnacentral:rRNA from 1 species